UACGUAGGGUGCAAGCGUUAAUCGGAAUUACUGGGCGUAAAGCGUGCGCAGGCGGUGAUGUAAGACAGUUGUGAAAUCCCCGGGCUUAACCUGGGAACUGCAUCUGUGACUGCAUCGCUGGAGUACGGUAGGGGCAGAGGGAAUUUCCGGUGGAGCGGUGAAAUGCGUAGAGAUCGGAAAGAACACCAACGGCGAAAGCACUCUGCUGGGCCGACACUGACACUGAGAGACGAAAGCUAGGGGAGCGAACAGG
rnacentral:rRNA from 1 species